CAGUCGAGCGGAACGAAGGUAGCUUGCUACCAGGCGUCNNNCGGCGGACGGGUGAGUAAUGCUUAGGAAUCUACCGAGUAGUGGGGGAUAGCCAUUGGAAACGAUGAUUAAUACCGCAUAUAUCCUACGGGGGAAAGCAGGGGACCUUCGGGCCUUGCGCUAUUCGAUGAGCCUGAGUGAGAUUAGCUAGUUGGUGGGGUAAAGGCCUACCAAGGCGACGAUCUCUAGCUGGUCUGAGAGGAUGAUCAGCCACACUGGGACUGAGACACGGCCCAGACUCCUACGGGAGGCAGCAGUGGGGAAUAUUGCACAAUGGACGAAAGUCUGAUGCAGCCAUGCCGCGUGUGUGAAGAAGGCCUUCGGGUUGUAAAGCACUUUCAGCGAGGAGGAAAGGUCAGUAAGUAAUAUUUGCUGGCUGUGACGUUACUCGCAGAAGAAGCACCGGCUAAUUUAGUGCCAGCAGCCGCGGUAAUACUAAAGGUGCAAGCGUUAAUCGGAAUUACUGGGCGUAAAGCGCGCGUAGGUGGUUUGU
rnacentral:rRNA from 1 species